GGGGGACAUUGCACAAUGGAGGAAACUCUGAUGCAGCAACGCCGCGUGAGGGAAGAAGGUCUUCGGAUUGUAAACCCUUGUCCUUGGUGACGAAACAAAUGACGGUAGCCAAGGAGGAAGCUCCGGCUAACUACGUGCCAGCAGCCGCGGUAAUACGUAGGGGGCUAGCGUUGUCCGGAAUUACUGGGCGUAAAGGGCGUGUAGGCGGCCGAGCAAGUCAAGUGUGAAAAGCCUCGGCUUAACCGAGGCAUUGCACAUGAAACUGCAUGGCUUGAGUGCAGGAGAGGGAAGUGGAAUUCCUAGUGUAGCGGUGAAAUGCGUAGAUAUUAGGAGGAACACCAGUGGCGAAGGCGACUUCCUGGACUGUAACUGACGCUGAGGCGCGAAAGCGUGGGUAGCAAAC
rnacentral:rRNA from 1 species